CAGGGCUCCGAAUAAAUGAGCUGCUUGACCUGAACACUGCUUCCAUCCAGUGGUCAGAGAGUGUAACUGCAGGUGUGUAAAGACAGGAACAAGAUGACAGUGAAGGCUCUGAUGCUCCAGCAGCAGAACUGUAGUGGAGGAGGCAGAUGGUUAAUCUCCAUCCACGAGCGGAUAUGACAUGCAAAACCUUUCAGCUGGAUUCAGGAGGAUGAAUAUGUGAGGAGGGAGGUGGACAAUGGAAACUCUAAAAUUGGGACCAUGAUUUGUCUUGUAUACUUGUUCUUUAAAUGCUACCUCCUACUG